rnacentral:tmRNA from 1 species
AGUGCCGAGGAUGUAGGAAUUUCGGACGCGGGUUCAACUCCCGCCAGCUCCACCA